UCGAGGAUCUUCGGCAAUGGGGGCAACCCUGACCGAGCGACGCCGCGUGUGCGACGAAGGCCUUCGGGUUGUAAAGCACUGUCGAGGGGGAGGAAAGCCCGCAAGGGUGUGACCUAUCCCUGGAGGAAGCUCGGGCUAAGUUCGUGCCAGCAGCCGCGGUAAGACGAACCGAGCGAACGUUGUUCGGAAUCACUGGGCUUAAAGGGCGCGUAGGCGGACUGCCGCGUCCGGGGUGAAAUCCCACGGCUCAACCGUGGAACGGCCCCGGAUACGGGCGGUCUCGAGGGAGGUAGGGGCAUGCGGAACUACGGGUGGAGCGGUGAAAUGCGUUGAUAUCCGUGGGAACUCCGGUGGCGAAGGCGGCGUGCUGGACCUCACCUGACGCUGAGGCGCGAAAGCCAGGGGAGCAAACGG
rnacentral:rRNA from 1 species